ensembl:snRNA U6 U6 spliceosomal RNA
GUACUCCCUUUGGCAGCACAUAUACUAACAUUGGAAUGAUACAGAGAAGAUUAGCAUGUCCUCUGUGCAACGAUGCCAUGCAAAUUCCUGAAGUGUUCCAUUGAAAA